rnacentral:rRNA from 1 species
AUAACGGGUAACGGAGAAUCAGGGUUCGAUUCCGGAGAAGGAGCUUGAGAAUUGGCUACUACAUCUAAGGAAGGCAGCAGGCGCGCAGAUUACCCAAUCCCGAUUCGGGGAGGUAGUGACAAAAAAUAACAAUACCGGGCCUUUUUGGGCUUGGUAAUUGGAAUGAGGGAGAGUUAAACGGACCAUCGAGUAUCCAUUGGAGGGCAAGUCUGGUGCCAGCAGCUGCGGUAAUACCAGCUCCAAUAGCGUAUAUUAAAGUUGUUGCAGUUAAAAAGCUCGUAGUUGGACUUGUGUGCGCUGUCCGCGGGUGGCCUGCGCCCAAAAGGGCGUUUCGGUUCGGCCCCGGUGGCGCCUUGAAAUCUGCAGCUGGGGGGACGUUGGCCUUAACUGGUCGGCGACCGCACGCCGGCUGCUCGGUUACUGUGAGAAAAUUAGAGUGUUCAAGGCAGGCAUUGGGUGCAAUUGAAUACAUUAGCAUGGAAUAAUAAAAUAUGGCUCCUGCCGUAUUUUGUUGGUUUUGACUGGUGGGAGUAAUGAUUGAUAGGGACGGUUGGGGGUGCUAGUAUUGAGCGGCCAGAGGUGAAAUUCAUGGAUUCGCUCAAGACUAACUUAUGCGAAAGCAUUCACCAAGGACGUCCUCUUUAAUCAAGAACGAAAGUUGGGGGAUCGAAGACGAUCAGAUACCGUCGUAGUCUCAACCAUAAACUAUGUCGACUUGGGAUCGGCGGUAGUUUUUUCAUUAAGACACUGUCGGGACCACGGGAGAAAUCAAAGUGUCUGGACUCUGGGGGAAGUAUGGUCGCAAGGCUGAAACUUGAAGGAAUUGACGGAAGGGCACCACCAGGAGUGGAGCCUGCGGCUUAAUUUGACUCAACACGGGGAAACUUACCAGGUCCAGAGAUGUAGAGGAUUGACAAAUUGAAGCUCUUUCUUGAUCACUUCGGUGGUGGUGCAUGGCCGUUCUUAGUUGGUGGAGUGAUUUGUCUGGUUAAUUCCGUCAACGAACGAGACCUCAGCCUGCUGGUGUAGUCGGCUGGAUUGCCUUUGGCGAUCCGUGAUUUCGACUUCUUAGAGGGACAAUCGACGCGCAGUCGAUGGAAGUUUGAGGCAAUAACAGGUCUGUGAUGCCCUUAGAUGUUCUGGGCCGCACGCGCGCUACACUGCUGGGCUCAGCGAGUUUUACUUGGCCGAGAGGCCCGGUUAAUCUUGUGAAAUCCCAGCGUGCUUGGGCUCGCCUCCUGCAACUGGAGGCGCCAACGAGGAAUUCCUAGUAGACGCAGGUCAUCAACCUGCAUCGAUUACGUCCCUGCCCUUUGUACACACCGCCCGUCGUUCCAUAAGAGUGAGGCAUCCGGUGAAUUCUCGGGAGAGCCUGGGCGUGGCCAGCAAUGGUCUGCUCGGGUUUGAACUUGCAUAAACUUGGUGCCUAUGAUUAGGGAAAAGUCGUAACAAGGUU